rnacentral:tRNA from 1 species
GGCACCAUAACCAAGUGGUAAGGUAGAGGUCUGCAAAACCUUUAUGCCCCGGUUCAAAUCCGGGUGGUGCCUCCA